CCUACGGGCGGCAGCAGUGAGGAAUAUUGGUCAAUGGGCGCGAGCCUGAACCAGCCAAGUCGCGUGAAGGAUGACUGCCCUACGGGUUGUAAACUUCUUUUAUCAAGGAGUAAAGUCAGGCACGUGUGCCUUUUUGUAUGUACUUUAUGAAUAAGGCACGGCUAAAUCCGGGCCAGCCACCGGGGUAAUACGGAGGAUCCGAGCGUUAUCCGGAUUUAUUGGGUUUAAAGGGAGCGUAGAUGGGUUGUUAAGUCAGUUGUGAAAGUUUGCGGCUCAACCGUAAAAUUGCAAUUGAUACUGGCAGUCUUGAGUACAGUUGAGGUAGGCGGAAUGCGUGGUGUAGCGGUGAAAUGCAUAGAUAUCACGAAGAACUCCGAUUGCGAAGGCAGCUUACUAAACUGCCACUGACAUUGAGGCUCGAAAGUGUGGGGAUCAAACAGGAUUAGAUACCCUAGUAGUC
rnacentral:rRNA from 1 species